AUACUUGGCUGGCAGGGGAGACAUCAUGAUCAUAAAGGUAAUUUUCCCAGGGUGAGUCUUAUCCAUUGUAUUCUGGACGUGUGGGGCCCUGCAAGUCCCCCAAAUGUAAGAAACUCCACUGCAUAAUUUGUGGUAGUGGGGAACUAUAUUUACACCUUCGCC